ACGAACGCUGGCGGCGUGCUUAACACAUGCAAGUCGAACGGAAAGACCCUGCUUUUGUGGGGUGCUCGAGUGGCGAACGGGUGAGUAACACGUGAGUAACCUGCCCUUGACUUUGGGAUAACUUCAGGAAACUGGGGCUAAUACCGGAUAGGAGCUCCUGCUGCAUGGUGGGGGUUGGAAAGUUUCGGCGGUUGGGGAUGGACUCGCGGCUUAUCAGCUUGUUGGUGGGGUAGUGGCUUACCAAGGCUUUGACGGGUAGCCGGCCUGAGAGGGUGACCGGCCACAUUGGGACUGAGAUACGGCCCAGACUCCUACGGGAGGCAGCAGUGGGGAAUAUUGCACAAUGGGCGGAAGCCUGAUGUAGCAACGCCGCGUGCGGGAUGACGGCCUUCGGGUUGUAAACCGCUUUCGCCUGUGACGAAGCGUGAGUGACGGUAAUGGGUAAAGAAGCACCGGCUAACUACGUG
rnacentral:rRNA from 1 species